rnacentral:lncRNA from 1 species
GAAAAUGUUUAAAGAUUAUUUUGUUCUUUACAAUUCUCUUGCUCUUUUUUGAUUAGUUUGGGAAUUAAAUUUUGGGGGAGAGCUCCAAAAUGAUGAAAUUUGAAAAUAAGCUCUAUUAGGUGCACUAUUAAGUAGAAAGAAUCUCUCAAGUUUUCUCCUAGGCUAUUUGAAAUUAUUUUAUUUGGGAAUUUUUUCUUCCUAAUCCUGCCUCAUAAGACAAAGUACUAGGAGGUACAAAGGAUAGUGAUGUAAUGGCUCUGUUUCCCUAACACUGAUUUAUUUUCAUUUGAAAGAAGUUGGUCACUUUUCAGAAAAGUAAUUAUAAAGUUAUUUUUACCUUUGGUUAAUUUGAUUUCUUUUUUUUUUUUUUUUUUUUUGUUUUUUUGAGACGGAGUCUCACUCUGUCGCCCAGGCUGGAGUGCAGUGGCGCGAUCUCGGCUCACUGCAAGCUCCGCCUCCUGGGUUUACGCCAUUCUCCUGCCUCAGCCUCCUGAGUAGCUGGGACUACAGGCGCCCGCCACCGCGCCCGGCUAAUUUUUUGUAUUUUUAGUAGAGACGGGGUUUCACCGUGGUCUCGAUCUCCUGACCUUGUGAUCCGCCCGCCUCGGCCUCCCAAAGUGCUGGGUUUACAGGCGUGAGCCACCGCGCCCGGCCAAUUUGAUUUCUUAAAUAGCACUUUCUUUGACAGAAAUUUACAGUGUAAAGACAAUACGUAACUGCUUCAGUCAGAUGAAAAUCCAAUAAUUAGCUUAUGUUGAAACUAGAUGUUGAUUUAUUACAGGAUUAUACACGUGGAUUCCAUAAAACCCAAGCAAACUUUAUGGCAGUACGGGAAAGGCAGAAUCUCAUGGGAUCAGUAUGAAAAGAUAUUGAGUUUCCGUUGGUGGACCGCAUGUAUUACUGUUAUGGAAACAUUCCAUUUCAACGGCUUUCCCUCCCCAUGUGCUACAUACUAAAUCAGUGCUACAGUUUACUUCCGCUUGGAGAAAAUGAAGAUAGCAGAGAAGGAAAGGAAAGUAAAAGUAAGAUAUUUUGUUUGUUUGUUUGUUUCUGAAUGUUGAGUUAUUUUUGUGAAAAACAUAGUAAACUG